rnacentral:rRNA from 1 species
AUUGAACGCUGGCGGCAGGCCUAACACAUGCAAGUCGAGCGGAUGAAGGGAGCUUGCUCCUGGCUUCAGCGGCGGACGGGUGAGUAAUGCCUAUGAAUCUGCCUGGUAGUGGGGGAUAACGUCCGGAAACGGGCGCUAAUACCGCAUACGACCUGAGCGAGAAAGUGGGGGAUCUUCGGACCUCACGCUAUCAGAUGAGCCUAGGUCGGAUUAGCUAGUUGGUGGGGUAAAGGCCUACCAAGGCGACGAUCCGUAACUGGUCUGAGAGGAUGAUCAGUCACACUGGAACUGAGACACGGUCCAGACUCCUACGGGAGGCAGCAGUGGGGAAUAUUGGACGAUGGGCGAAAGCCUGAUCCAGCCAUGCCGCGUGUGUGAAGAAGGUCUUCGGAUUGUAAAGCACUUUAAGUUGGGAGGAAGGGCAGUAAGUUAAUACCUUGCUGUUUUGACGUUACCAACAGAAUAAGCACCGGCUAACUUCGUG